AAAAGACUUUAUAUGCCAAUUUUGAAUGUUUAUAAAUUUAGGUCAUGAAAAAAGUCACUUUAAUAAAAAAUGGUGUCCAAAUUUAUAAUAAUGUGCCUGGUGGAAUCAGAGUUCGGCUUUCAAGGUUUCAAUAAAAAAAGCUAAGGGAUACUUUUGAAAUAGUUAUCUACAAUCGUAAUCAUUGCAUUGCUACCUUUCCUACAGAUGCCAUCACAAUAAUAUGUACUAUGACAUGUAUAUUUAUUUGUUAAAUACAGAAACCUAUUUAAAUAUU